rnacentral:rRNA from 1 species
CCUACGGGGGGCAGCAGUGAGGAAUAUUGGUCAAUGGACGAGAGUCUGAACCAGCCAAGUAGCGUGAAGGAUGACUGCCCUAUGGGUUGUAAACUUCUUUUAUCAAGGAAUAAAACGAGGCACGUGUGCCUUUUUGCAUGUACUUUAUGAAUAAGGAUCGGCUAACUCCGUGCCAGCAGCCGCGGUAAUCCGGCGGAUCCGAGAGUUAUCCGGAUUUAUUGGGUUUAAAGGGAGCGUAGAGGGGUUGUUAAGUCAGUUGUGAAAGUGUGCGGCUCAACCGUAAAAUUGCAGUUGAUACUGGCAGUCUUGAGUACAGGAGAGGUAGGCGGAAUGUGUGGUGUAGCGGUGAAAUGCUUAGAUAUCGCGAAGAACCCCGAUUGCGAAGGCAGCUUACUAAACUGUGACUGACAUUGAUGCUCGAAAGUGUGGGUAUCAAACAGGAUUAGAGACCCGAGUAGUC